UACAGAGGUCUCAAGCGUUGUUCGGAUUCAUUGGGCGUAAAGGGUGUGUAGGUGGCGCGCUAAGUCGGGUGUGAAAUUUCGGAGCUUAACUCCGAAACUGCAUUCGGUACUGGCGUGCUUGAGGACUGGAGAGGAGACUGGAAUUUACGGUGUAGCAGUGAAAUGCGUAGAUAUCGUAAGGAAGACCAGUGGCGAAGGCGGGUCUCUGGACAGUUCCUGACACUGAGACACGAAGGCCAGGGGAGCAAACGGGG
rnacentral:rRNA from 1 species